rnacentral:rRNA from 1 species
UACGGAGGGUGCAAGCGUUGUCCGGAAUCACUGGGCGUAAAGGGCGCGUAGGCGGCCUGGUAAGUAGGGGGUGAAAUCCUGCGGCUUAACCGCAGGGCUGCCUUCUAAACUGUCAGGCUAGAGCACAGUAGAGGCAGGUGGAAUUCCCGGUGUAGCGGUGGAAUGCGUAGAGAUCGGGAAGAACAUCAGUGGCGAAGGCGGCCUGCUGGGCUGUUGCUGACGCUGAGGCGCGACAGCGUGGGGAGCAAACAGG